rnacentral:rRNA from 2 species
UGGGGAAUUUUGGACAAUGGGCGCAAGCCUGAUCCAGCAAUGCCGCGUGCAGGAAGAAGGCCUUCGGGUUGUAAACUGCUUUUGUACGGAACGAAAAGGCUCUGGUUAAUACCUGGGGCAUAUGACGGUACCGUAAGAAUAAGCACCGGCUAACUACGUGCCAGCAGCCGCGGUAAUACGUAGGGUGCAAGCGUUAAUCGGAAUUACUGGGCGUAAAGCGUGCGCAGGCGGUUUUGUAAGACAGGCGUGAAAUCCCCGGGCUCAACCUGGGAAUUGCGCUUGUGACUGCAAGGCUGGAGUGCGGCAGAGGGGGAUGGAAUUCCGCGUGUAGCAGUGAAAUGCGUAGAUAUGCGGAGGAACACCGAUGGCGAAGGCAAUCCCCUGGGCCUGCACUGACGCUCAUGCACGAAAGCGUGGGGAGCAAACAGG